CCUGAUCCAGCCAUGCCGCGUGCAGGAUGACGGUCCUAUGGAUUGUAAACUGCUUUUAUACGAAAAAAAACACUGCUUCUUGAAGCCCUUGACGGUAUCGUAAGAAUAAGGAUCGGCUAACUCCCUGCCACCAGCCGCGGUAAUACCGAAGAUCCAAGCGUUAUCCGGAAUCAUUGGGUUUAAAGGGUCCGUAUGCGGUUUAAUAAGUCAGUGGUGAAAGCCCAUCGCUCAACGGUGGAACGGCCAUUGAUACUGUUAAACUUGAAUUAUUAGGAAGUAACUAGAAGAUGUAGUGUAGCGGUGAAAUGCUUAGAGAUUACCUGGAAUACCAAUUGCGAAGGCAGGUUACUACUAAUGGAUUGACGCUGAUGGACGAAAGCGUGGGUAGCGAACAGGAUUAGAUACCCUGGUAGUCCACGCCGUAAACGAUGGAUACUAGCUGUUGGAAGCAAUUUCAGUGGCUAAGCGAAAGUGAUAAGUAUCCCACCUGGGGAGUACGUUCGCAAGAAUGAAACUCAAAGGAAUUGACGGGGGCCCGCACAAGCGGUGGAGCAUGUGGUUUAAUUCGAUGAUACGCGAGGAACCUUACCAAGGCUUGAAUGUAGAUUGACCGAUUUGGAAACAGAUCUUUC
rnacentral:rRNA from 1 species